rnacentral:rRNA from 1 species
AUUGAACGCUGGCGGCAUGCCUUACACAUGCAAGUCGAACGGCAGCACGGGUGCUUGCCCCUGGUGGCGAGUGGCGCACGGGUGAGUAAUACAUCUGAACAUGUCCUGUAGUGGGGGAUAGCCCGGCGAAAGCCGGAUUAAUACCGCAUACGAUCUACGGAGGCAAGCGGGGGACCUUCGGGCCUCGCGCUAUAGGGUUGGCCGAUGGCUGAUUAGCUCGUUGGUGGGGGAAGGCCUACCAAGGCGACGAUCAGUAGCUGGUCUGAGAGGACGACCAGCCACACUGGGACUGAGACACGGCCCAGACUCCUACGGGAGGCAGCAGUGGGGAAUUUUGGACAAUGGGCGAAGGCCUGAUCCAGCAAUGCCGCGUGUGUGAAGAAGGCCUUCGGGUUGUAAAGCACUUUUGUCCGGAAAGAAAUCCUUGGCCCUAAUACGGUCGGGGGAUGACGGUACCGGAAGAAUAAGCACCGGCUAACCACGUG